UACGUAGGGGCCUAGCGUUGUCCGGAUUUAUUGGGCGUAAAGAGCUCGUAGGCGGUUUGUCACGUCUGCUGUGAAAUCCCGAGGCUCAACCUCGGGCCUGCAGUGGGUACGGGCAGACUGGAGUGCGGUAGGGGAGAAUGGAAUUCCUGGUGUAGCGGUGGAAUGCGCAGAUAUCAGGAGGAACACCGAUAGCGAAGGCAGCUCGCUGGGACGGUACUGACGCUGAGGCGCGAAAGCGUGGGGAGCGAACAGG
rnacentral:rRNA from 1 species